GAAUUCUACACGACANGNCGCGACNUUUAUGCUAUCUAACAUGGGCCGUUGGUUNCUAUAGAGAUCUCACGCUGAGACCGCUCGUUUNACAGCCUAAUACAUGCAAGUCGAGCGAAUCUUUAGGAGCUUGCUCCUGAAGGUUAGCGGCGGACGGGUGAGUAACACGUGGGCAACCUGCCUGUAAGACUGGGAUAACACCGGGAAACCGGUGCUAAUACCGGAUAAUUCUUUUCCUCACAUGAGGGAAAGCUGAAAGUCGGUUUCGGCUGACACUUACAGAUGGGCCCGCGGCGCAUUAGCUAGUUGGUGAGGUAACGGCUCACCAAGGCGACGAUGCGUAGCCGACCUGAGAGGGUGAUCGGCCACACUGGGACUGAGACACGGCCCAGACUCCUACGGGAGGCAGCAGUAGGGAAUCUUCCGCAAUGGACGAAAGUCUGACGGAGCAACGCCGCGUGAGUGAUGAAGGCCUUCGGGUCGUAAAACUCUGUUGUUAGGGAAGAACAAGUAUCGGAGUAACUGCCGGUACCUUGACGGUACCUAACCAGAAAGCCACCGCUAACUCCGUGCCA
rnacentral:rRNA from 1 species